rnacentral:rRNA from 1 species
UGUAAUUGGAAUGAUGGGAACCUAAACCCCUUCCAGAGUAUCAAUUGGAGGGCAAGUCUGGUGCCAGCAGCCGCGGUAAUUCCAGCUCCAAUAGCGUAUAUUAAAAUUGUUGCAGUUAAAAAGCUCGUAGUUGAAUUUCUGCUGCAUUGCUUGUGUCCCUCUGGGGUCUGUGCAUGUGGCUUUUUUCGGACGGAGUUUCUUUGUCUGAAUGUUUACUUUGAGAAAAUUAGAGUGCUCAAAGCAGGCUUUCGCCUUGAAUAGUUUAGCAUGGAAUAAUAAAGUAGGACUUUGAUUCUAUUUUGUUGGUUUUAGGUACCAAAGUAAUGGUUAAUAGGAACAGUUGGGGGCAUUCGUAUUUAACUGUCAGAGGUGAAAUUCUUAGAUUUGUUAAAGACGAACUACUGCGAAAGC